GCCUAGCUGGCUCAGUCAGUGGAGCGUGUAACUUUUGAUCUUGAGGUUGUGAGUUUGAGCCCCAUGUUGGGUG
rnacentral:tRNA from 1 species